rnacentral:piRNA from 1 species
UGAUUGAUGCCCAAGACAGAUAAUGCUUCAA